GAUGAACGCUGGCGGCGUGCCUAAUACAUGCAAGUCGAACGGAAAGGCCAUGCUCUUGCGCGGUGCACGAUUGCCGAACGGGUGAGAAACACGCGAGUAUCCUGUCCCUGUAAUUGGGAUAUCUCUUGGAAACUGGGGCUAUUAUCCCAUAUGAUCUCUUGCUCCACGGUGGUGGAUGGUAAGAUUCGGCGGUUGGGGCUGUUCUCGCUGCUUACCGGCCUGUUGGUCUGGUAGUGGCGUUCCAAGGCUUUGACGGGUAGCCGGCCUGAGAGGGUGAACAGCCACAUUGGGACUGAGGUACGGCCCAGACUCCUACGGGAGGCAGCGGUGGGGAAUAUUGCGCAAUAGGCGGAAGCCUGAUGCAGCAACGCCGCGUGCGGGAUGACGGCCUUCGGGUUGUAAACCGCUUUCGCCUGUGACGAGGCGUGAGUGACGGUAAUGAAUAAGGAAGCAACGGCUAACUACGUG
rnacentral:rRNA from 1 species